ACAAAAGGGCGGCGUGUUGUGAAAUUUGGNGAUGUANCUCAGUUGGGAGAGCGCGGGCUAUGCAAGCCGGAGGUCGUCGGUUCGAUCCCAAUCAUCUCCNCCAGGGGAUUUNCCGGCGGCGCCGAAAGCCGCUGGUUCUCGAGUUUUUGUCUCUCGCCCGAAGCUGGGCGGGGGUUACGACCUUUGACAGUUGAAUGCAAGGGUGACCGGCUGCNCUGCACACGCAGUGUAUGUACGCGGUGACCAAACAACUCACCGAGAGAAUACUUGCGGCGCGCGCCCGAGAGGGUGGCGCGUCGGGAAGUGCCGAACCAUACUCUUGAUUCACGGCGUNUUCGGACGCCGUCGGAUAGGAUUUUUGGCCAAGCUAGUAAGGGUAUGCGGUGGAUGCCUUGGCAUCAGGAGGCGAUGAAGGACGUGCUAA
rnacentral:sRNA from 1 species